AACGAACGCUGGCGGCAUGCCUAACACAUGCAAGUCGAACGAGACCUUCGGGUCUAGUGGCGCACGGGUGCGUAACGCGUGGGAAUCUGCCCUUAGGUUCGGAAUAACAGUUAGAAAUGACUGCUAAUACCGGAUAAUGACGUAAGUCCAAAGAUUUAUCGCCUAGGGAUGAGCCCGCGUAGGAUUAGCUAGUUGGUGGGAAA
rnacentral:rRNA from 1 species